rnacentral:rRNA from 1 species
CCUACGGGAGGCAGCAGUGAGGAAUAUUGGUCAAUGGGCGCGAGCCUGAACCAGCCAAGUCGCGUGAGGGAAGACGGUCCUAUGGAUUGUAAACCUCUUUUGUCGGGGAGCAAAAGACGCCACGCGUGGCGUUCCGAGAGUACCCGAAGAAAAAGCAUCGGCUAACUCCGUGCCAGCAGCCGCGGUAAUACGGAGGAUGCGAGCGUUAUCCGGAUUUAUUGGGGUUAAAGGGUGCACAGGCGGAAGAUCAAGUCAGCGGUAAAAUUGAGAGGCUCAACCUCUUCGAGCCGUUGAAACUGGUUGUCUUGAGGUAGCGAGAAGUAGGCGGAAUGCGUGGUGUAGCGGUGAAAUGCAUAGAUAUCACGCAGAACUCCGAUUGCGAAGGCAGCAUACCGGCGCUCAACUGACGCUCAUGCACGAAAGUGUGGGUAUCGAACAGGAUUAGAUACCCUAGUAGUC